rnacentral:lncRNA from 1 species
AUAUUAUGAGAAAUUAAUUUCUUAUUAAUUAGAUGUUAAAUUAGCAUAUAUUGUUAAUUAAAUAUUAAAUGAGCAUGUACUUAGCUUGAAUAUGAUUAUUGUGGGUGAUGUGAGUGAAAGCCCCAAUUUACAUGAAUUUAAAAAUUUGACUAUGAGGUUGUUGGUAGUUAAUUUUUAUAUAUGUAUAGAAAUGUUGUUUAUGAAAGAAAAUGGAUAAAGAAAAAUGUAUAUAUUCGGGCUUGUA